rnacentral:rRNA from 1 species
AGAGUUUGAUCCUGGCUCAGAUUGAACGCUGGCGGCAGGCUUAACACAUGCAAGUCGAGCGGGGAAUGGUAGCUUGCUACCUGACCUAGCGGCGGACGGGUGAGUAAUGCUUAGGAAUCUGCCUAUUAGUGGGGGACAACAUUCCGAAAGGAAUGCUAAUACCGCAUACGCCCUACGGGGGAAAGCAGGGGAUCUUCGGACCUUGCGCUAAUAGAUGAGCCUAAGUCAGAUUAGCUAGUUGGUGGGGUAAAGGCCUACCAAGGCGACGAUCUGUAGCGGGUCUGAGAGGAUGAUCCGCCACACUGGGACUGAGACACGGCCCAGACUCCUACGGGAGGCAGCAGUGGGGAAUAUUGGACAAUGGGCGCAAGCCUGAUCCAGCCAUGCCGCGUGUGUGAAGAAGGCCUUUUGGUUGUAAAGCACUUUAAGCGAGGAGGAGGCUACUUGGAUUAAUACUCUAGGAUAGUGGACGUUACUCGCAGAAUAAGCACCGGCUAACUCUGUGCCAGCAGCCGCGGUAAUACAGAGGGUGCGAGCGUUAAUCGGAUUUACUGGGCGUAAAGCGUGUGUAGGCGGCCUUUUAAGUCGGAUGUGAAAUCCCUGAGCUUAACUUAGGAAUUGCAUUCGAUACUGGGAAGCUAGAGUAUGGGAGAGGAUGGUAGAAUUUCAGGUGUAGCGGUGAAAUGCGUAGAGAUCUGGAGGAAUACCGAUGGCGAAGGCAGCCAUCUGGCCUAAUACUGACGCUGAGGUACGAAAGCAUGGGAGCAAACAGGAUUAGAUACCUUGGUAGUCCAUGCCGUAAACGAUGUCUACUAGCCGUUGGGGCCUUUGAGGCUUUAGUGGCGCAGCUAACGCGAUAAGUAGACCGCCUGGGGAGUACGGUCGCAAGACUAAAACUCAAAUGAAUUGACGGGGGCCCGCACAAGCGGUGGAGCAUGUGGUUUAAUUCGAUGCAACGCGAAGAACCUUACCUGGUCUUGACAUAGUAAGAACUUUCCAGAGAUGGAUUGGUGCCUUCGGGAACUUACAUACAGGUGCUGCAUGGCUGUCGUUAGCUCGUGUCGUGAGAUGUUGGGUUAAGUCCCGCAACGAGCGCAACCCUUUUCCUUAUUUGCCAGCGGGUUAAGCCGGGAACUUUAAGGAUACUGCCAGUGACAAACUGGAGGAAGGCGGGGACGACGUCAAGUCAUCAUGGCCCUUACGACCAGGGCUACACACGUGCUACAAUGGUCGGUACAAAGGGUUGCUACCUAGCGAUAGGAUGCUAAUCUCAAAACGCCGAUCGUAGUCCGGAUUGGAGUCUGCAACUCGACUCCAUGAAGUCGGAAUCGCUAGUAAUCGCGGAUCAGAAUGCCGCGGUGAAUACGUUCCCGGGCCUUGUACACACCG